UACGGAAGGCAGCAGGGGGGAAUAUUGGACAAUGGGCGAAAGCCUGAUCCAGCCAUGCCGCAUGAGUGAAGAAGGCCUUCGGGUUGUAAAGCUCUUUUAGUGAGAAAGAUAAUGACGGUACUCACAGAAGAAGUCCUGGCUAACUCCGUGCCAGCAGCCGCGGUAAUACGGAGAGGGCUAGCGUUAUUCGGAAUUAUUGGGCGUAAAGAGCGCGUAGGCUGAUUAGUAAGUUAAAGUGAAAUCCCAAAGCUUACUUUGGAAUUGCUUUUUAAAACUGCUAGUCUAGAGAUUGAAAGAGGAUAGAGGAAUUCCUAGUGUAGAGGUGAAAUUCGUAAAUAUUAGGAGGAACACCAGUGGCGAAGGCGUCUAUCUGGUUCAAAUCUGACGCUGAGGCGCGAAGGGCGUGGGGAGCAAACAGGGAUUAGAUACC
rnacentral:rRNA from 1 species